AAUCUUGAACAACUUUAGGGAAUAAAUUCCAAAGAUUAUCACCAGUCUAACAGACUGCUUUCUACUCUCCACUUAUGCCUCUUCAGGUCAUUAGAUCUUUGAGCAAAUAGCGCUGAUGAAGAGUGCAUGGCUGAUUUCAAUCAGAAUGCUGAAAUUCAUGGACUGGCAUGCGAUGCUCUGAAUAUCCUGGGAGCAUGGAAAAAAGCUUUAUGACCAAAUCUUUGUCCUUUUACGGGCUUUCUGACUACUACAUUGCUUUCAUCACUACUAUUCCCACUUAUUACAAGCCAUGCCACUCAAGCACAGGUAACCUGUAAGAAAAGCUACCCAAGGGUUUACCAUGGUAAAUGGUGUGGUAGUGUGAGCUACAAAUGUUUGCUUGCCAGAGAAGCUGAAGUAUCUCCCAUAGAUUGCAGGCAGCUGAAGGGGAAAUUUGCAAGUGUAGCUGCUUAUAUGGUGUGAGACAGCCAAAGAUGCGAGUUCACAAAUCAGUCACUGUCCAUGGUGCGGCCUAGGAUCUCCUGGUCUAUGUUCUCCAGUCCUUCUACAAGCCAUGCCUUUUCUUUCCAGCUUGAUCUCUCACCUCUUACUUUGCUCCCUCUUCUAGCUGCUAUUCUGUUGAUUUGGAUGAAAUCAGCAGGGUUUAUGACUGUCUCCUAUGAGCUCAGAGAAAGAGUCUUGCUGAUGCGAAUAAUUCUCUUUAAGCUUCCUAAUUACUGCUAAUAUUUGCUUUGUUUUGUAACAGCUCCUAGUCAGAGUUUACAUGAGGAGACUGCUAAUGAUGCUGCACACCAUGAGGAGUUCAUGUGCAUGCUCUCCUGCUGUGUCAAAUUUUUACUUCAUUCUCAGUAAACAGAUCUUGUCUGGGACAAGUGUGGCCUGAAAGAUGACACGUAGUGCACUGAUACUCAUCUGGGUUUGAGGAAAAUGCAUAACCAGUUGAAGCCAUUCCCUAUCUGUGGCUGUUGAUGGUAUCAGAUUCCCCUCACACACCAUCUCCUUUGUGUGAGCAGCCAAAUCCAAACUUCUUCAAGGUACAGGCCAGAUCACGGCUGUGUUGCUUUAAUUUCCUAUCCAGCAUUUAGUUCCCCUCAUUUUCCUCGUGGAUUGUUCCAACCUGCCAGUCCAAACAUGUGAUCCAUUGUGCAGCCAGCUGGCUGGAGUACAGUCAGAACCUGGUCAAUAUUUGGAAAGAAGUACAGCAUGCUGCCUGACUUCAUCUGAAAUAAUGGAAUAUCCAGAAAUACAACAUGAGUUUUGAAGAAGUUGCUCAGCUAGUCUUUUACCAGAUUGGUUAACAGUGCCCCUAGCCUAUGUGUCAACAUAGUACUUCUAAAGGAGAAAAUUCAAGGUAAUGCUUAAAUCCUGGUCCUUUUCUCUACACUGCUGUCUCAGGUAUCUUUCCAGAGGUAAGCUAAUGGCCUCUCCCUAAUCAAUUUCUUAACAGAAGAAGAAAAAUAAUAUAAAAAGACAUUUAUUUCUAAACAUCAGGAGGCACUUUACAAAUGGUGGAGAAUUAGGAUGUUGAGAGGCUGUGGAACUUCCUCCUCAGAGAUCAGAAGCCACUUGGAUGUGUUCCUGGGACCUCUUCUCUGGGUGUCCUUGAUGGAGCAGGAGUUGGGGCAGGUGGACUCAGAGAUCCCUGCCAACCUUAGCUGUUCAGUCAUUCUGUGGAAAGGUGGGAACAGAAGGUGCUACACUGAAGUAUUAGCAGGAUAAUGUGUAAUUCUGCAAAUAUACUUCUGCGUGUAUUUUACAAGGCUUAUGUCCUUGAUUGCCCUUUGCAUUUCUGUCUGACCUUCUGAGCUCCACUGCAAAGAAACCAGAAUGGCAGGUUGUAUGGAUAAAUGCCUUCUAUAGCUUGAACAGUUUGGGCAACAACAGUCUUGUGCUACAAGAUGAAACACAAGGGAAAAAACAAACAAACAAAAAAAAAAACAUUCUGGUGAAGAAAUGAAUGUUCUGUCACUUUUCUUUCUGAUUUCCUUAAAUUUGUUUAAGAAUUUGCAGAAGUGCAUUUCUAUUCUACUUUGGAUGAUAUUAUGAAAAUACAAUAAAAUACUAAGAAGCUCAGAAGAAUGUUGAACACAACACUAGAUUAACAACAUAAGAACAUUCUACUGAUUUCUGUAGAAAUGUUAAUAUUCUAUCUAACUCAACCCAUAAAACUAGUGAUGAACAGAAUAUUUAUCAUGCACAUUAGACAUGCAGAGAUUCUACAGUGUGGAUAAUAAUGAAAAUAACUCUUAGGACGUGAAGUACUCUGGGCAACAUGUAAUAAAGUACAGUGCAAUCUGCCAGCUAUAUCUGGCAUGAAUAUGCAUCUCACAUGUUGUCCCACUGAUAUUUAUGAACGUGUCCCUGUGCUGCACUGGGCCCUGGAGGUCAAGGGUUUAGGAUUUUCUUACAUAGCAAACCACGUUACUUUAACAGGAUUGGGUUUGCAGUACAAAAUCAUAGGUAGUUACAUCCUAACAUCCAGAAUGUGCAUUUCAAAAAGAUUUUACUUCCAAGUAAGUCUGCCUUUAUGGCCAUUGGACCAUAGAGAACAUAUUGGUUUCAUCUAAAAGGACUUCAGAUUAUGUCCUUAUACCACCUCACAGUUUAAGCCCAAGCAUUUGGACAUGACCAAAGGCCGGCACAGCAGUAGGCUACUGUAAAUUCAUGAGACAGCUCAGAAACAUUAUAUUCCACCACAGGAUAU